ACAGGUUUCUGUGGAGAAGUGUGUUUUUUUGUAAUUUGUAUUAUCAUUGGUUAAGUGAUAGUUGUUAUUUGGUCACAAUGUUUAGUGUUUUGAGUGUGGG